GUGUGACCAUGCAUGCAUUUGGAAUGUUGGGCAAGAAUCACAAUGGAGUCACUUCACUGAUCUCACUUAUACAUCCCUUCAUAAUUUCUAUAAAUGUAAUUUACAUCAAACCCUUUUAAUAUCUGGCUAUCAGGUGUUCUUGUGACUUCGGUUUGACUUUUAUUAAUAGGAAAUUCUUUGAAAGGGGAACAUUAAAGUAAAUAUCAUCCAAAUAUAUCAGCA